rnacentral:tRNA from 1 species
GGCCUGGUAGUUCAGUUGGUUAGAAUGCCAGCCUGUCACGCUGGAGGUCGAGGGUUCGAACCCNCCUGCCUU